CGGGGUGUAGCUCAGCUUGGUAGAGCGCUGCGUUUGGGACGCAGAGGCCCACGGUUCGAAUCCGUGCACCCCGACCA
rnacentral:tRNA from 1 species